UUGAACGCUGGCGGCAUGCCUUACACAUGCAAGUCGAACGGAGUAUAUUUUCUAGCUUGCUGGCAGAUAUACUUAGUGGCGAACGGGUGAGUAACACGUGGGUAAUCUGCCCUGCACUUCGGGAUAAGCCUGGGAAACCGGGUCUAAUACCGGAUAUGAGCUCCUGCCGCAUGGUGGGGGUUGGAAAGUUUUUUCGGUGCAGGAUGGGUCCGCGGCCUAUCAGCUUGUUGGUGGGGUAAUGGCCUACCAAGGCGACGACGGGUAGCCG
rnacentral:rRNA from 1 species